UACGUAGGGACCAAGCGUUGUUCGGAUUUACUGGGCGUAAAGGGCGCGUAGGCGGCAUGACAAGUCACUUGUGAAAUCUCUGGGCUUAACUCAGAACGGCCAAGUGAUACUGUCGCGCUAGAGUGCAGAAAGGGCAAUCGGAAUUCUUGGUGUAGCGGUGAAAUGCGCAGAUAUCAGGAGGAACACCAAUAGCGAAGGCAGCUCGCUGGGACGGUACUGACGCUGAGGCGCGAAAGCGUGGGGAGCGAACAGG
rnacentral:rRNA from 1 species